rnacentral:rRNA from 1 species
GACAGAGGGCGCGAGCGUUGUUCGGAAUCACUGGGCGUAAAGCGCGCGCAGGCGGACCAGGCAAGUCUGGAGUGAAAAUCUCGCCGCUCAACGGCGAGGCUGCUUUGGAAACUGCGGGUCUGGAGACCGGUAGAGGCUGGUAGAAUUGCAGGUGUAGCGGUGGAAUGCGUAGAGAUCUGCAAGAAUACCCGUGGCGAAGGCGGCCAGCUGGGGCCGGUUCUGACGCUGAGGUGCGAAAGCGUGGGGAUCAAACAGGGAUUAA